rnacentral:lncRNA from 1 species
GGCAAUCCUGCCAGGAUAACUGUGUUUGGUUAAUCCGCUAUGUAAUCUAGUCGUUAAUGUAGCAUUACAAAUCGAGCAGGAUUACAUCGAAAAUAUUAACGGGAGGGGGGUCGUGUAUCUUGCAUUACUGAAAACCGUUAAUACUACAUAUUAUAUAAAAUGACAAUUUUACCCUCCAAAAAACCCCAAAUCUAAUUAACAGCAUUAUUUUCAUCUCUCUCGCCUUCCCCCUCUCUUUCGCACGUCGCUUUCUCUCGCUCUCUCUCUCUCUCUCGACGUCUCUCUCUCUCUCUCUCGCACAAACACCUAUCAUCUUCUAUUGCGUCGUCCUCCCAGGUAAUCAUCACGAUCUCCUUCCCUCCAUUCAUCAUUUCCGCAAAAAAUAAUAUUCAAAUGACCACAACAAGGGCAAUUUUGAAAAAAACUAUACUUUUAUGUUAGGAUUAUUAAAUUUUAUAAACUGAACCAAACGUAUUAAUACUAUAAAUACUGUAAUCUAGUAUUACAUUACUGCAUUAAACCAAACGCACUAAUGCAGCAUCAGUAGUAAUCUCAUGCCGAAAUCCA